UACGUAGGGUGCAAGCGUUAUCCGGAAUUAUUGGGCGUAAAGAGCUCGUAGGCGGUUUGUCGCGUCUGCUGUGAAAACUCGGGGCUUAACUCCGGGCCUGCAGUGGGUACGGGCAGACUAGAGUGCGGUAGGGGAGACUGGAAUUCCUGGUGUAGCGGUGAAAUGCGCAGAUAUCAGGAGGAACACCGGUGGCGAAGGCGGGUCUCUGGGCCGUAACUGACGCUGAGGAGCGAAAGCGUGGGGAGCGAACAGG
rnacentral:rRNA from 1 species